rnacentral:rRNA from 1 species
CCGCAAGGGGAGCGGCAGACGGGUGAGUAACGCGUGGGAAUCUACCCUUUUCUACGGAAUAACGCAGGGAAACUUGUGCUAAUACCGUAUGAGCCCUUCGGGGGAAAGAUUUAUCGGGAAAGGAUGAGCCCGCGUUGGAUUAGCUAGUUGGUGGGGUAAAGGCCUACCAAGGCGACGAUCCAUAGCUGGUCUGAGAGGAUGAUCAGCCACAUUGGGACUGAGACACGGCCCAAACUCCUACGGGAGGCAGCAGUGGGGAAUAUUGGACAAUGGGCGCAAGCCUGAUCCAGCCAUGCCGCGUGAGUGAUGAAGGCCCUAGGGUUGUAAAGCUCUUUCACCGGUGAAGAUAAUGACGGUAACCGGAGAAGAAGCCCCGGCUAACUUCGUGCCAGCAGCCGCGGUAAUACGAAGGGGGCUAGCGUUGUUCGGAAUUACUGGGCGUAAAGCGCACGUAGGCGGAUUGUUAAGUGAGGGGUGAAAUCCCAGG